rnacentral:misc_RNA from 1 species
UAUCCGUUGGUGAACCAGCGGAGGGAUCAUUACAGGACUCGCAAGACUCCUUCACCCUGUGAACCUCACUACAAGCACGUUGCUUCGGCGGGUGUCCCGGCGGGGGUUUUCCCUCGCCGGGGCGCACAGCCCGCCGGCAGCCUACUAUACUCUGUCUCUUUGCGUUGGCAUCUCGAGAAAAAACAAACAAGUUAAAACUUUCAACAACGGAUCUCUUGGUUCUGACAUCGAUGAAGAACGCAGC